CGCUCGUAGUCGGAUUUCGGGGCGGGUGCGUCGGUCUGCCGUUGGGUAUGCACUGUCGCGCGCGUCCUUCCUUCCGGAGACUGUGCCUACUCUUAACUGAGCGGGUGCGGGAGACGGAUCGUUUACUUUGAAAAAAUCAGAGUGUUUCAAGCAGGCAGCUCGCUCUUGCAUGGAUUAGCAUGGGAUAAUGAAAUAGGACUUUGGUGCUAUUUUGUUGGUUUCGAACACCGAAGUAAUGAUUAACAGGGACAGUCAGGGGCACUCGUAUUCCGCCGAGAGAGGUGAAAUUCUUAGACCAGCGGAAGACGAACCACUGCGAAAGCAUUUGCCAGGGAUGUUUUCACUGAUCAAGAACGAAAGUUAGGGGAUCGAAGACGAUCAGAUACCGUCGUAGUCUUAACCAUAAACCAUGCCGACUAGGGAUUGGAGGAUGUCCAUUUUUGACUUCUUCAGCACCUUACGGGAAACUAAAGUCUUUGGGUUCCGGGGGGAGUAUGGUCGCAAGGCUGAAACUUAAAGGAAUUGACGGAAGGGCACCACCAGGAGUGGAGCCUGCGGCUUAAUUUGACUCAACACGGGGAAACUUACCAGGUCCAGACAUUGUGAGGAUUGACAGAUUGAGAGCUCUUUCUUGAUUC
rnacentral:rRNA from 1 species